rnacentral:tRNA from 1 species
AUUUACAUAGUUUAACAAAAUAUCACAUUUUCACUGUGAAGAUAGACUUUGAUCUUGUAAAUU